rnacentral:rRNA from 1 species
UAGUCCACGCCGUAAACGAUGUCAACUAGCUGUCUGUGUCCUUGAGACGUGGGUAGCGUAGCUAACGCACUAAGUUGACCGCCUGGGGAGUACGGCCGCAAGGUUAAAACUCAAAUGAAUUGACGGGGGCCCGCACAAGCGGUGGAGCAUGUGGUUUAAUUCGAUGCAACGCGAAGAACCUUACCAUCCCUUGACAUCCAGAGAAUUUACUAGAGAUAGUUUAGUGCCUUCGGGAACUCUGAGACAGGUGCUGCAUGGCUGUCGUCAGCUCGUGUUGUGAAAUGUUGGGUUAAGUCCUAUAACGAGCGCAACCCCCAUGCUUAGUUGCCAGCACGUAAUGGUGGGAACUUUAAGCAGACUGCCCGCGUAAGCGGUGAGGAAGGAGGGGAUGAAGUCAAGUCAUCAUGGCCCUUACGCCUAGGGCUACACACGUGCUACAAUGGCAUAUACAAAGGGUCGCUACUUGGUAACAAGAUGCUAAUCUCUAAAGUAUGUCUCAGUUC